rnacentral:rRNA from 1 species
UACGUAGGAGGCGAGCGUUGUCCGGAAUUACUGGGCGUAAAGAGCGCGUAGGUGGCGCGAUACGACCGGUGUGCAAUCCUCCGGCUCAACUGGAGGGGGUCACUGGUAACGGUCGUGCUUAUGAGUGCAGGAGAGGGACGUGGAACUCCGGGAGUAGCGGUGAAAUGCGUAGAGACCCGGAGGAACACCAGUGGCGAAGGCGGCGUCCUGGCCUGCGACUGACGCUGUGGCGCGAAAGCUAGGGGAGCGAACGGG